UACGAAGGGGGCUAGCGUUGCUCGGAAUGACUGGGCGUAAAGGGCGCGUAGGCGGCUCAUACAGUCAGGCGUGAAAUUCCUGGGCUCAACCUGGGGACUGCGCUUGAGACGUGUGGGCUUGAGUGGGGAAGAGGGUCGUGGAAUUCCCCAGUGUAGAGGUGAAAUUCGUAGAUAUUGGGAAGAACACCGGUGGCGAAGGCGGCGACCUGGUCCUUGACCUGACGCUGAGGCGCGAAAGCGUGGGAGCAAACAGG
rnacentral:rRNA from 1 species